AAUCAGGUCCGAACGUACUCGGACAUAUCUAAACGUAACGGCUUUCCAACAGGAAUCUAAAAAUUUGUUACUAUAAUAAUGGUCGUUUUCCAAUUGAUGACACUAUCGCACAGCCAUUCUAUUGGUUAAACAUUACCUAAGUAUCAUCUACUCUACGAACCAUUUUAUUGGCUAAAUAUUAUCUAAUUUACGUGAAACUACUUUAUUGGUUAGGAAUCAUCCGAGUUAUCUUCUAAGAUAACACGCAGCCAAUGGAGCAGCUUUGUUUGUUUCUCAUUGGAAAGCCUCCUAUAGUAUCUGUUUGAUUCAGGGUGAAAAACAUCGUUAGUAAAUUCAAGGUGAGUCUUGUUGAGUGUUUUGAAAGUGUUGGUCGUUGCGAUCUCUCAGACAACGAGGUGAUAUGUACGCGUUAUUGUUUACCGGGUGAUAGCGGGCCGACUGGCGUUUUUGCCUCGUUUUGUUUUGGUAUUCUCGCACGCCGCGUAUCUUUUCGCUAAUGUAUUAUUGAGCGCCGGCGAGUCAAGUACGUAUCGCGACGCGGAUAUGCGUUUGUCAGUAUGUGAGUUACCAUUUUCGUCGUUCCUUUGAAUAUUUCGAUCGGGCUCUCGCGUCGUUAACACGUUUCCUUCCGGAUUGUAUCUACGCGAGUUGGGUGAUGGCGUUGAGAUAUUCAAUUACAAGAAGCCACUUAUUAGGCCUGUUCUUUGUAGCUGCACUACUGAACUAGUGCAAUAAGUUAGAGUGAGAAAACGUAUAUUUGUUUCACUUCAAUAUAUUGCACCAGUUCAGCAGUGCAACUACAAAGAACAGGCCUAUUGAAGGAAGGAAGGUAUCUACGCGAGUGUCAGUGCCAUGGGUGUACGUAAAGGAGAUGCAGGAGGAUACUGGAUCGGGAGACAAGGAUGGAGAACACAGAAUACUGGAGCACGGGCAGUUGUACAUUAUACAUUUCCAGGUCUGGCGGAGUUUGUGACCAUACAGUGGGUGCAAUUGCGAUGCAUGUAAACGUCGUACCGGAGGAUCCGGUUCGGACCGACCAGGGUCGGCUCGAAGAACAGCAGUAGAACGUGGCCGAUCCUGAGUUGCCGGUAAUCGGUGAGUCGAAAACAAAGACUUUAGGUGAUGGAUAUUGAUGAUUGAUAUGUACAAGAAAUCAGUGCGAUUUACUUAGCUCUCGUAGACUUUUGCAUGUACACUGAGAGAAAAAUAAUUAAUCCUACUACAAAUUGUAAUAAUUGUUUACUAAGAAUAUUUUUUUAAUUAUUUUAACAAAUUAGUAAAGUACUUAGUACGAAAAUGAGUUUCCUGAUUGUAGUUACUUCAUUAUAUACGAUCACAGU